CGAUCGCGCUCCCCUGAAGCAUCGGCGCUCGAUUGGGCCGCCUGCGCGGCGGCGCCGCCGGGAGCGGAGGUUCCGGGGCGGUGGUGCCGGUACCGGGGGCGGGAUCGCCCCCGAACCCCGUGUGGGGCCCUCAGCGCCGGGGGUGGGCCCAGAGCGGGCUCGGGGGUGUGAGGAAGGGAUGUCUGGGCCCAGAGCGGGCUCGGGGGUGUGAGGAAGGGAUGUCGGGGCCCAGAGCGGGCUCGGGGGUGCGAGGAAGGGAUGUCGGGGCCCAGAGCGGGCUCGGGGGUGCGAGGAAGGGAUGUCGGGGCCCAGAGCGGGCUCGGGGGUGUGAGGGCCGGGUCGGCGUCUGGUCAAAAGGCAGUUCUGAAUCUUCAAAUACCCGCUGUCAGCACUGGGGGAGCCUUGACAGCGGCUGUGUGGCCUGUGCCAGGAGUUAGAGAUUCCUAGUAACAGAAAGAAAUAAAAUUCCAAGUUAACAGGGGUGUGCCUGAACGAGGAGAGGCCUCGAAGGAGAAAAAGGAGUUUUAGCGGUGGUUGGGAGGUCUGGAUUAAGAAGAGCUCAGAGCAGAAAGGGACCAUCAGCAUGUGGCCCUUUGAAACUAAAGGUACAGAGGCUCGAAAGUAAUGUGUUCCAGGCUCAGGGUGUUGGUGUUUGUUCUGUUCUUCAAAGGCCGUGGUUCUGUAUUACAGGUUUUCUUGCUGCAGUCAUCUUAUUCAUGCAAUAAAUGAACCACCAUGAUCUCUGUUUAUAA